AUUGAACGCUGGCGGCAGGCUUAACACAUGCAAGUUGAGCGGUAACAGAGAGAAGCUUGCUUCUCUGCUGACGAGCGGCGGACGGGUGAGUAAUGCCUAGGAAUCUGCCUAGUAGUGGGGGAUAACUUGCCGAAAGGUAAGCUAAUACCGCAUACGUCCUACGGGAGAAAGGAGGGGACCUUCGGGCCUUUCGCUAUUAGAUGAGCCUAGGUCGGAUUAGUUAGUUGGUGAGGUAAUGGCUCACCAAGACCGCGAUCCGUAACUGGUCUGAGAGGAUGAUCAGUCACACUGGAACUGAGACACGGUCCAGACUCCUACGGGAGGCAGCAGUGGGGAAUAUUGGACAAUGGGGGGAACCCUGAUCCAGCCAUGCCGCGUGUGUGAAGAAGGUCUUAGGAUUGUAAAGCACUUUAAGUUGGGAGGAAGAGCAGUUAACUAAUAUUUGACUGUUUUGACGUUACCGACAGAAUAAGCACCGGCCAACUUCGUGCCAGCCGCCGCAGUAA
rnacentral:rRNA from 1 species